GUGCUUGCUUUAGCAACACAUAUACUAAAAUUGGAACAAUACAGAGGAGACGAGCAUGGCACCUGCGUAAGGACGACACACAAAUUCAUGAAGUGUUCCAUAUUUUU
ensembl:snRNA U6 U6 spliceosomal RNA